GCGCCUAGCUAGAAGGCAGAAGGUCCCAUUGUUACAAGUCUUUGGUAUGACUCGGCCGGGGUUCGAAACCACGACCUCCCAUUCAUGAGGCGGGCACUCUAACCACUGAGCCACCAUGCCCGGUUAUGAAUCAGUGCAAUUAUAAAAUAAUAUUUACAUACCUGAUGUGUACUGUUGAAACCCUGUGAAUUUGUUGUUGUAUUGCUGGUUGAUGGGUAUGUGUAGCCUGCCGUUGUAAACGUACCUUGCAUGCCAUAAUAAGGGCUCUGUGUUGCUUGCGGACUACCAGUGAAGCUUGAUGAACCAUAUGUACUAAGAUACGACCCUUGACCUUGUAAUGUAGCCGGGUCCGACUUUAAAGACUUUGCUCCUGUAAAAUAAUAAAAUUAAUGCCCACUUUGUUAGAAACAUGGAUGGAACACCUGGCAUAUUUUAGGUACCAGCAUAUAUUUCUUGUCAUUCACAAAUAUUUAUUUUAUUUGUUAACCAAAAUGUUGAUCAUACCGCCGUGCUCAUAUUUGGAUAAUACGUGUAACGCUUUUAUUAAGAUAAUUUUUUUGGGGUGCUAAAUGAGUGUAAAAGCAAUACGUUUUUUUAAUUCAAUAAUUGGAACAAAUUAGAGCAAGUAUUCUUGGUGACUAUACUAACUUUAAAAAAGAAAAGAAAGAAUCUAAUGACUUACAAGUUUUGGAUUGCACUCAGUUCCUAAAUAAUUCAAAUUAUGCCAUAGGACAUAGUUACAAUUCCUAUACUAGCCCAUAAGUGAGAUAUAAGGAAGUGAUCUUACCAUAGGACAUAGCUUGUCCUACUAGCCCAUAGGGCGAGGGUGAUGUCUGAGUAGAGUAGGGGUAACUGGAGGCACUCUGAGAACCAAAUGUGCCUUGUGUUUGUGAUCCUACUGGUUGAAAGUUGGCGCCCUGAGCCGUUGGAGUAGGCAAGAUGUGUGGGUAUGCUUGACUGUAACAAAAACAUUAAAACAAUU